rnacentral:rRNA from 1 species
UACGUAGGGUGCAAGCGUUGUCCGGAAUCAUUGGGCGUAAAGCGCACGUAGGCGGCCCCGUAAGUCGGACGUGAAAUCCCACGGCUCAACCGUGGAAGUGCAUCCGAAACUGUGGGGCUCGAGUAUGGAAGAGGGUCGCAGAAUUCCCGGUGUAGAGGUGAAAUUCGUAGAUAUCGGGAGGAAUACCAGUGGCGAAGGCGGCGACCUGGGCCAAUACUGACGCUGAGGUGCGAAAGCGUGGGGAGCAAACAGG